UUAGCAAUCUCGAACCCUGAGCCUGCAAUCCUCUGUGGAGGCUUGCUCAGAGGAUUGCAGGCUCGGGGUUUGAGAUUGAAGUU